rnacentral:rRNA from 1 species
AGCAUGAAGUUGCGGACACCAAGCUUCCAGGAAAAGCCUCUAAGCUUCAGUCUUCAAUCGACCGUACCGUAAUCGGACACACGUGGGCGAGAUGAGAAUUCUCAGGCGCUUGAGAGAACUCGGGUGAAGGAACUCGGCAAAUUGGCACCGUAACUUCGGGAUAAGGUGCGCCGCGGUAGGGUGAAGAGACUUGCUCUUGGAGCCCGAGGCGGUUGCAGCGAAACGGGAGCCGCGACUGUUUAAUAAAAACACAGCACUCUGCAAACACGUCAAGUGGACGUAUAGGGUGUGACGCCUGCCCGGUGCCGGAAGGUUAAGUGAUGGGGUGCAAGCUCUUGAUCGAAGCCCCGGUAAACGGCGGCCGUAACGAUAACGGUCCUAAGGUAGCGAAAUUCCUUGUCGGGUAAGUUCCGACCUGCACGAAUGGCGUAACGAUGGCUCUACUGUCUCCACCCGAGACCCAGCGAAGUUGAAAUGGUUGUGAUGAUGCAAUCUACCCGCGGCUAGACGGAAAGACCCCGUGCACCUUUACUGUAGCUUUGCAUUGGACUGUGAUGGGAUCUGUGUAGGAUAGGUGGGAGCCGAUGAAGUGGGGGCGCUAGCCCUCAUGGAGGCGACGUUGAAAUACCACCCUGAUGUCAUUGCGGUUCUAACCUGGCCCCCUUUAUCGGGGGUGGGGACCGUGCAUGGUAGGCAGUUUGACUGGGGCGGUCUCCUCCCAAAGAGUAACGGAGGAGCGCGAAGGUUCGCUAGGUACGGUCGGAAAUCGUACUCAAUAGUGUAAUGGCACAAGCGAGCUUGACUGCGAGACUGACAAGUCGAGCAGGUGCGAAAGCAGGCCAUAGUGAUCCGGUGGUUCUGAAUGGAAGGGCCAUCGCUCAACGGAUAAAAGGUACGCCGGGGAUAACAGGCUGAUUCCUCCCAAGAGUUCACAUCGACGGGGGAGUUUGGCACCUCGAUGUCGGCUCAUCACAUCCUGGGGCUGUAGCCGGUCCCAAGGGUAUGGCUGUUCGCCAUUUAAAGUGGUACGUGAGCUGGGUUUAAAACGUCGUGAGACAGUUUGGUCCCUAUCUACCGUGGGCGUUGGAGAUUUGAGGGGGGCUGCUCCUAGUACGAGAGGACCGGAGUGGACGCACCUCUGGUGUACCGGUUGUCACGCCAGUGGCAUGGCCGGGUAGCUAUGUGCGGAAGAGAUAACCGCUGAAAGCAUCUAAGCGGGAAACUUGCCCCAAGAUGAGAUCUCCCCGAGGGUUAACCUCGCUAAAGGGUCGCGGAAGACCACCGCGUUGAUAGGUCGGGUGUGGAAGCGUGGUAACACGUUGAGCUAACCGAUACUAAUUGCCCGUGCGGCUUGAUCCG